rnacentral:rRNA from 1 species
UGGGGAAUAUUGCACAAUGGAGGGAACUCUGAUGCAGCGACGCCGCGUGAACGAAGAAGGCUUUCGAGUCGUAAAGUUCUUUUAUAUGGGAAGAUAAUGACGGUACCAUAAGAAAAAGCCCCGGCUAACUACGUGCCAGCAGCCGCGGUAAUACGUAGGGGGCUAGCGUUGUCCGGAAUCACUGGGCGUAAAGGGUUCGCAGGCGGAAAUGCAAGUCAGGUGUAAAAGGCAGUAGCUUAACUACUGUAAGCAUUUGAAACUGCAUAUCUUGAGAAGAGGAGAGGUAAGUGGAAUUUUUAGUGUAGCGGUGAAAUGCGUAGAUAUUAAAAAGAAUACCGGUGGCGGAGGCGACUUACUGGGCUCAUUCUGACGCUGAGGAACGAAAGCGUGGGUAGCAAACAGG